rnacentral:rRNA from 1 species
GAUAAACGCUGGCGGCGUGCCUAAAACAUGCAAGUCGAACGGGUGACUUCGGUCACCAGUGGCGAACGGCUGAGUAACGCGUGGGUGACCUCGCUCCGAGUGGGGGAUAACUGCCCGAAAGGGUGGCUAAUACCGCAUGUGCUCGUGGGAUCGUUCCUACGCGCAAAGUCGCAAGACGCUUGGAGAUGGGCCCGCGUCCGAUUA